GAGCGCGUGUAGCAAUACACGAGCGGCAGACGGGAGAGUAACGCGUGGGAACGCGCCCUUCGGUUCGGAAUAACUCAGGGAAACUUGAGCUAAUACCGGAUACGCCCUUACGGGGAAAGAUUUAUUGCCGAAGGAACGGCCCGCGUCCGAUUAGCUAGUUGGUGAGGUAACGGCUCACCAAGGCGACGAUCGGUAGCUGGUCUGAGAGGAUGACCAGCCUCACUGGGACUGAGACACGGCCCAGACUCCUACGGGAGGCAGCAGUGGGGAAUAUUGGACAAUGGGCGCAAGCCUGAUCCAGCCAUGCCGCGUGGAUGAUGAAGGCCCUAGGGUUGUAAAGUCCUUUUAACGGUGAAGA
rnacentral:rRNA from 1 species